AAAAAGACUUAAGGAUAAGAAUAUCUCUACCGGCUGAUCGUCAGAUGAAACAGGCAAAAUUUCAUUGUUGUUGGCAAAUGAAACGGCUACUUCAUGGUUAUCAACAUAUUGUGAAGCAGACAAUUGGUGCAUGGGAGCCGUGGUGAGAGGUUGUCACACCUUGCACAUGUAUGAGAGAGAAGCGCGGGGCCUCUCGCUGUGGUCUUUUAACACCCCGCCAAGAUAAUGACACCUGAGCAGGUUUCCUAUUGGCUGGUCUUCUCACCGUCUCACUCUAGCCAGCAGUUAUAUCUUAAAACCCAUGAUCCCUGGUGGCACCUGUGAGAAUGGAAUAACUGUACUAUUUUCAGCAGCUGGCUUUUUGCAUAUCUGCAAAGUUGUGAUGAGAAGUCUUCGCAAAAGUGGCCUUGACGGUAUUACAGUUUGUGUUUUCCCCAUCUUACUCUUCUGAUUUUUUUUUUUUUUGUUUCUUGUACAGCUUUAUGCUUUCAUCUAUGGCCUGUUUGUAUGCAAAAAUGCCAAAUGUUCCUUCGCCAUUUACGAGGGGAGCUGAUUUUCUAGUUGCAAAUGUAAUGCUCUCAUCAAUCCUCCCAGCAAGACAUCGAGCCGUCAAGCUGUUUCAAUCAACUGAGGUGAACGCCAGCAAGGCCUGAUACUGUGGCGGGAGAUUCCUGUAGAAUGCAGAGUGGCUGAAUGGGAUUCCAGCUCAGAAAAGAGAUCUCAAUUUUGAAGAAAUGAAUGAUUGGUGUGAUUUUGUGCCAAAACCUCAUGUAAUUGAAUGUGAUGCAAAAGAUUUGUCCCGUUGCUUCAUGGGUUGUGAGAGAAAAACACUGAGCAUUAAGGACAUUUUGAACAAUGGAACAGAAAAAGAAAAGAAGAUUGUU